rnacentral:rRNA from 1 species
GACGAACGCUGGCGGCGUGCUUAACACAUGCAAGUCGAACGAAGUGGCAAACGGGUGAGUAACGCGUAAUCAACCUGCCCUUCAGAGGGGUACAACAGUUGGAAACGACUGCUUAUCCCGCAUACUGAAGGAGGUGAUUGGGUUUGAUUCGGUAGUUGGAGGGGUAACGGCCUACCCUGGCGAUGAGCAGUAGCCGGUCUGAGAGGCUGAACGGCCACAUUGGGACUUGGACACGGCCCAGACUCCUACGGGAGGCAGCAGGGGGGAAUCUUCCGCAAUGGACGAAAGUCUGACGGCGCAACGCCGCGUGAGUGAUGACGGCCUUCGGGUUGUAAAGCUCUGUUAAUCGGGACGCGGUACCGGAAUAGAAAGCCACGGCUAACUACGUGCCAGCAGCCGCGGUAAUAC